AUUUUUAAAUCAUUUUCUACCGCUCUGACUUGUUCCUGUUUGUUUGUUUUACUGUGUAGUUUUUCUGGUUUGGAGGAACAGCGCCUCCUAGCAAAGAGCUGCUGUAACUGCAGCAGGUUUCCUUCAGGAGAGCAGCAUGAAAACAGAGAGAUGAAGAUGUAAAGAACAACAAUGACAUCACAGAGACGGAGGAGGAGGGUUCAUGGUCUGGGUCCUGAGUUUCAGCUGGUUUCUGGUUUGGAUGAUCUGAUCCUGGAAGAUUUCUGAAGAGUUCCAGAGAGAUCUCCACACCUGCAGAAACAUAAAAACAUGUGACUGAAGACGGAGACUUUGGGGAAUUUGCAGGUAAAACCGAGAAACAAAAACCAAACAGGAAACCCAGCAGGAAGAGCCAGAUCCACAGAGGAAACAAGUCAUUUAAAGAGAUGGAGCUUCAGGAAGGUGGACUCUGGAGGUUCUCAGGUUCUCCUCUCUGGAUGUUGGACUCCGACAGGACCAGAGCGGUUUGGUUCAGCACCGUCUCUACAUUCAGGAUGCUUUUGUUUUAUUUACAUUAUUAUAGAAUCAGUAAAAGACUCUUACUUACAGCAGAUUUUCUGGAAAUUUUGCAUCAAAAACCAAUAAAGUUUUUUUUGUUUGACAGUUUAUGAAUGUUGCUAAACUUUACUCUUUAUAAUAAAGUCUUAUAAAAGCUAAAACGUAAAAAAUGUCCAAAAUUGACUGAGAUAUAUAGUAUAUUAGUGUACAGUGUAUUAAUAUAUAGUAGUAUAGUGUAUAAUUGGGAAAUGUAUAAUUGUUUUAAAGUUUUAUAAGGUUGAGAUUCUAAUCAUGUGUUUUUACGUCUUCCUGCACAAACUUUUCAUGGAUUUCUAUACUUGUCUUUUCUUCCUAAAUGUUGUAUAAGUGCAAAAAUAAUUAAAUAAUUGAAAGUUUUGACCAAAGUGUGUCAC